GGCCAGACUCCUACGGGAGGCAGCAGUGAGGAAUAUUGGUCAAUGGGCGCGAGCCUGAACCAGCCAAGUCGCGUGAGGGAUGACGGUCCUACGGAUUGUAAACCUCUUUUGCCGGGGAGCAAGCGUGCGUUCGUGAACGCGCGUCGAGAGUACCCGGAGAAAAAGCAUCGGCUAACUCCGUGCCAGCAGCCGCGGUAAUACGUAGGGGGCAAGCGUUAUCCGGAUUUACUGGGUGUAAAGGGAGCGUAGACGGCAUGGCAAGUCAGAUGUGAAAGCCCGGGGCUCAACCCCGGGACUGCAUUUGAAACUGUCAGGCUGGAGUGCAGGAGGGGCAGGCGGAAUUCCUGGUGUAGCGGUGAAAUGCGUAGAUAUCAGGAGGAACACCGGUGGCGAAGGCGGCCUGCUGGACUGCAACUGACGUUGAGGCCCGAAAGCGUGGGGAGCAAACAGGAUUAGAUACCCCGGUAU
rnacentral:rRNA from 1 species